rnacentral:rRNA from 1 species
UGGGGAAUCUUGGACAAUGGGCGCAAGCCUGAUCCAGCCAUGCCGCGUGAGUGAAGAAGGCCUUAGGGUUGUAAAGCUCUUUCGGCAGGGACGAUAAUGACGGUACCUGCAGAAUAAGCCCCGGCAAACUUCGUGCCAGCAGCCGCGGUAAUACGAAGGGGGCUAGCGUUGUUCGGAUUUACUGGGCGUAAAGCGCACGUAGGCGGAUUGUUAAGUCAGGGGUGAAAUCCCGGAGCUCAACUCCGGAACUGCCUUUGAUACUGGCAAUCUUGAGGCUGGAAGAGGUUGGUAGAAUUCCCAGUGUAGAGGUGAAAUUCGUAGAUAUUGGGAAGAAUACCAGUGGCGAAGGCGGCCAACUGGUCCAGAUCUGACGCUGAGGUGCGAAAGCGUGGGGAGCAAACA